rnacentral:rRNA from 1 species
AUCCUGGCUCAGGAUGAACGCUAGCGGCAGGCCUAACACAUGCAAGUCGAACGGUAACAGGAAAGAGCUUGCUCUUUUGCUGACGAGUGGCGCACGGGUGCGUAACGCGUAUACAAUCUACCUUUUACAGGGGGAUAGCCUUUAGAAAUGAAGAAUAAUACCCCAUAGUAAGUAAAUUUCGCAUGGAAAUUACUUUAAAGAUUUAUCGGUAAAAGAUGAGUAUGCGUUCUAUUAGCUAGAUGGUAAGGUAACGGCUUACCAUGGCAACGAUAGAUAGGGGCCCUGAGAGGGGGAUCCCCCACACUGGUACUGAGACACGGACCAGACUCCUACGGGAGGCAGCAGUGAGGAAUAUUGGACAAUGGAGGCAACUCUGAUCCAGCCAUGCCGCGUGCAGGAAGACUGCCCUAUGGGUUGUAAACUGCUUUUAUAUAGGAAGAAACCUUUCCACGUGUGGAGAGCUGACGGUACUAUAAGAAUAAGGAUCGGCUAACUCCGUGCCAGCAGCCGCGGUAAUACGGAGGAUCCAAGCGUUAUCCGGAAUCAUUGGGUUUAAAGGGUCCGUAGGUGGAUAAUUAAGUCAGAGGUGAAAGUUUGCGGCUCAACCGUAAAAUUGCCUUUGAUACUGGUUAUCUUGAAUCAUUGUGAAGUGGUUAGAAUAUGUAGUGUAGCGGUGAAAUGCAUAGAUAUUACAUAGAAUACCAAUUGCGAAGGCAGAUUACUAAUAAUCAACUGACACUGAUGGACGAAAGCGUGGGGAGCGAACAGGAUUAGAUACCCUGGUAGUCCACGCCGUAAACGAUGAGAGCUAGUUGUCUGCAGGCAUGCCUGUAGGUGACGCAGCUAACGCAUUAAGCUCUCCGCCUGGGGAGUACGGCCGCAAGGUUAAAACUCAAAGAAAUUGACGGGGGCCCGCACAAGCGGUGGAGCAUG